rnacentral:rRNA from 1 species
GUAGGGAAUAUUGGUCAAUGGACGAAAGUCUGAACCAGCCAUUCCGCGUGCAGGAAGAAGAUUCUAUGGAUUGUAAACUGCUUUUAGCAGAGAAGAAACGCCUUCAUUGAUGAGGGUUUGACGGUAUCUGCGGAAUAAGCACCGGCUAACUCCGUGCCAGCAGCCGCGGUAAUACGGGGGGUGCAAGCGUUAUCCGGAAUCACUGGGUUUAAAGGGUGCGUAGGCGGGAAAUUAAGUCAGUGGUGAAAGUCUGUUGCUUAACGAUAGAAUUGCCGUUGAUACUGAUUUUCUUGAAUUGGGUUGAGGUUAGCGGAAUGUGACAUGUAGUGGUGAAAUGCAUAGAUAUGUCAUGGAACACCAAUUGCGAAGGCAGCUAGCUGGGCCUUGAUUGACGCUGAGGCACGAAAGCGUGGGUAGCGAACAGGAUUAGAAACCCCUGUAGUCC